CUUCCAUAGCACGUUCUUGAGCAGCCCUAGUUUGUUCCAUAUUGCGGAUAUGCUUUUCCAACGCCUGUGUUUGUGCAGCACUCCCCUGUCCAGACUUUGACUUCAUUCUUUCCAAAGUGAAUGCCUGCGUAGCCCUGACGCGGGAAUAGGUUUUCUUCAAUUCUUCCACUUCUUUUUCAGGAAGACCUCCUUCAGCAACCUUUCUUAGGGAAAGCUUGUUUAUUAAUUUCAGCAGAGGAUUUUCUUCCGAACUUUCCUCUUCUGCCAUUUUCGUCAUUAAUAACUCCAUGGGAUUUCCUUCACCCGGCUUCAUUGGAGGAAGCUUGCUCAUUAAUUCUAGCAUAGGAUUCCCUCCUGCACCCUUUCCUUGGGCCAUCACUUUCAUUAACGAUUCCAUUGGAUUUCCUUCAUUAGGCUUCAUUGGAGGAAGCUUGCUCAUUAAUUCUAGCAUAGGAUUCCCUCCUGCACCCUUUCCUUGGGCCAUCACUUUCAUUAACGAUUCCAAAGGAUUUCCUUCAUUUAUUUCGUCGUUUCGUUCAUCCUGUGGAACGUUGUCCAAUGACUCCGUAACGUGAAGGUCCUUCAGUAGUUCUUCCAUAGCACGUUCUUGUGCAGCCCUAGUUUGUUCCAUAUUGCUGAUAUGCUUUUCCAACGCCUGUGUUUGUGCAGCACUCCCCUGUCCAGACUUUGACUUCAUUCUUUCCAAAGUGAAUGCCUGCGUAGCCCUGACGCGGGAAUAGGUUUUCUUCAAUUCUCUCACUUCUUUUUCAGGAAGACCUCCUUCAGCAGCCUUUCUUUGGGAAAGCUUGUUUAUUUUUUCUAGCAAGGGAUUUUCUUCUGUAGUUUCUUCUUCUGCCAUUUUCAUCAUUAACAACUCCAUGGGAUUUCCUUCACCCGGCUUCAUUGGUGGAAGCUUGCUCAUAAAUUCUAACACAGGAUUCCCUUCUGCAGCCUUUUCUUGAGACAUUUUCAUUAAUUCUUCCAUAGGAUUUCCUUCACCCGGCUUCAUUGGAGGAAGCUUGCUCAUUAAUUCUAGCAUAGGAUUCCCUCCUGCACCCUUUCCUUGGGCCAUCAUUUUCAUUAACGAUUCCAUAGGAUUUCCUUCAUUUAUUUCGUCGUUUCGUUCAUCCUGUGGAACGUUGUCCAAUGACUCCGUAACGUGUAGGUCCUUCAGUAGUUCUUCCAUAGCACGUUCUUGAGCAGCCCUAGUUUGUUCCAUAUUGCGGAUAUGCUUUUCCAACGCCUGUGUUUGUGCAGCACUCCCCUGUCCAGACUUUGACUUCAUUCUUUCUAAAGUGAAUGCCUGCGUAGCCCUGGCGCGGGAAUAGGUUUUCUUCAAUUCUUUCACUUCUUUUUCAGGAAGACCUCCUUCAGCAGCCUUUCUUAGGGAAAGCUUGUUUAUUAAUUUCAGCAGAGGAUUUUCUUCCGAACUUUCCUCUUCUGCCAUUUUCAUCAUUAAUAAUUCCAUGGGAUUUCCCUCACCCGGCUUCAUUGGAGGAAGCUUGCUCAUUAAUUCUAGCAUAGGAUUCCCUCCUGCACCCUUUCCUUGGGCCAUCAUUUUCAUUAACGAUUCCAUAGGAUUUCCUUCAUUUAUUUCGUCGUUUCGUUCAUCCUGUGGAACUUUGUCCAAUGACUCCGUAACGUGUAGGUCCUUCAGUAGUUCUUCCAUAGCACGUUCUUGAGCAGCCCUAGUUUGUUCCAUAUUGCGGAUAUGCUUUUCCAACGCCUGUGUUUGUGCAGCACUCCCCUGUCCAGACUUUGACUUCAUUCUUUCCAAAGUGAAUGCCUGCGUAGCCCUGACGCGGGAAUAGGUUUUCUUCAAUUCUUUCACUUCUUUUUCAGGAAGACCUCCUUCAGCAGCCUUUCUUAGGGAAAGCUUGUUUAUUAAUUUCAGCAGAGGAUUUUCUUCCGAACUUUCCUCUUCUCCCAUUUUCAUCAUUAAAAAUUCCAUGGGAUUUCCUUCACCCGGCUUCAUUGGAGGAAGCUUGCUCAUUAAUUCUAGCAUAGGAUUCCCUCCUGCACCCUUUCCUUGGGCCAUCAUUUUCAUUAACGAUUCCAUAGGAUUUCCUUCAUUUAUUUCGUCGUUUCGUUCAUCCUGUGGAACGUUGUCCAAUGACUCCGUAACGUGAAGGUCCUUCAGUAGUUCUUCCAUAGCACGUUCUUGUGCAGCCCUAGUUUGUUCCAUAUUGCUGAUAUGCUUUUCCAACGCCUGUGUUUGUGCAGCACUCCCCUGUCCAGACUUUGACUUCAUUCUUUCCAAAGUGAAUGCCUGCGUAGCCCUGACGCGGGAAUAGGUUUUCUUCAAUUCUCUCACUUCUUUUUCAGGAAGACCUCCUUCAGCAGCCUUUCUUUGGGAAAGCUUGUUUAUUUUUUCUAGCAAGGGAUUUUCUUCUGUAGUUUCUUCUUCUGCCAUUUUCAUCAUUAACAACUCCAUGGGAUUUCCUUCACCCGGCUUCAUUGGUGGAAGCUUGCUCAUAAAUUCUAACACAGGAUUCCCUUCUGCAGCCUUUUCUUGAGACAUUAUUUUCAUUAAUUCUUCCAUAGGAUUUCCUUCACCCGGCUUCAUUGGAGGAAGCUUGCUCAUUAAUUCUAGCAUAGGAUUCCCUCCUGCACCCUUUCCUUGGGCCAUCAUUUUCAUUAACGAUUCCAUAGGAUUUCCUUCAUUUAUUUCGUCGUUUCGUUCAUCCUGUGGAACGUUGUCCAAUGACUCCGUAACGUGUAGGUCCUUCAGUAGUUCUUCCAUAGCACGUUCUUGAGCAGCCCUAGUUUGUUCCAUAUUGCGGAUAUGCUUUUCCAACGCCUGUGUUUGUGCAGCACUCCCCUGUCCAGACUUUGACUUCAUUCUUUCCAAAGUGAAUGCCUGCGUAGCCCUGACGCGGGAAUAGGUUUUCUUCAAUUCUUUCACUUCUUUUUCAGGAAGACCUCCUUCAGCAGCCUUUCUUAGGGAAAGCUUGUUUAUUAAUUUCAGCAGAGGAUUUUCUUCCGAACUUUCCUCUUCUCCCAUUUUCAUCAUUAAAAAUUCCAUGGGAUUUCCUUCACCCGGCUUCAUUGGAGGAAGCUUGCUCAUUAAUUCUAGCAUAGGAUUCCCUCCUGCACCCUUUCCUUGGGCCAUCAUUUUCAUUAACGAUUCCAUAGGAUUUCCUUCAUUUAUUUCGUCGUUUCGUUCAUCCUGUGGAACGUUGUCCAAUGACUCCGUAACGUGAAGGUCCUUCAGUAGUUCUUCCAUAGCACGUUCUUGUGCAGCCCUAGUUUGUUCCAUAUUGCUGAUAUGCUUUUCCAACGCCUGUGUUUGUGCAGCACUCCCCUGUCCAGACUUUGACUUCAUUCUUUCCAAAGUGAAUGCCUGCGUAGCCCUGACGCGGGAAUAGGUUUUCUUCAAUUCUCUCACUUCUUUUUCAGGAAGACCUCCUUCAGCAGCCUUUCUUAGGGAAAGCUUGUUUAUUUUUUCUAGCAAGGGAUUUUCUUCUGUAGUUUCUUCUUCUGCCAUUUUCAUCAUUAACAACUCCAUGGGAUUUCCUUCACCCGGCUUCAUUGGUGGAAGCUUGCUCAUAAAUUCUAACACAGGAUUCCCUUCUGCAGCCUUUUCUUGAGACAUUAUUUUCAUUAAUUCUUCCAUAGGAUUUCCUUCACCCGGCUUCAUUGGAGGAAGCUUGCUCAUUAAUUCUAGCAUAGGAUUCCCUCCUGCACCCUUUCCUUGGGCCAUCAUUUUCAUUAACGAUUCCAUAGGAUUUCCUUCAUUUAUUUCGUCGUUUCGUUCAUCCUGUGGAACGUUGUCCAAUGACUCCGUAACGUGUAGGUCCUUCAGUAGUUCUUCCAUAGCACGUUCUUGAGCAGCCCUAGUUUGUUCCAUAUUGCGGAUAUGCUUUUCCAACGCCUGUGUUUGUGCAGCACUCCCCUGUCCAGACUUUGACUUCAUUCUUUCCAAAGUGAAUGCCUGCGUAGCCCUGACGCGGGAAUAGGUUUUCUUCAAUUCUUUCACUUCUUUUUCAGGAAGACCUCCUUCAGCAGCCUUUCUUAGGGAAAGCUUGUUUAUUAAUUUCAGCAAAGGAUUUUCUUCCGAACUUUCCUCUUCUCCCAUUUUCAUCAUUAAAAAUUCCAUGGGAUUUCCUUCACCCGGCUUCAUUGGAGGAAGCUUGCUCAUUAAUUCUAGCAUAGGAUUCCCUCCUGCACCCUUUCCUUGGGCCAUCAUUUUCAUUAACGAUUCCAUAGGAUUUCCUUCAUUUAUUUCGUCGUUUCGUUCAUCCUGUGGAACGUUGUCCAAGGACUCCGUAACGUGUAGGUCCUUCAGUAGUUCUUCCAUAGCACGUUCUUGAGCAGCCCUAGUUUGUUCCAUAUUGCGGAUAUGCUUUUCCAACGCCUGUGUUUGUGCAGUACUCCCCUGUCCAGACUUUGACUUCAUUCUUUCUAAAGUGAAUGCCUGCGUAGCCCUGACGCGGGAAUAGGUUUUCUUCAAUUCUUUCACUUCUUUUUCAGGAAGACCUCCUUCAGCAGCCUUUCUUAGGGAAAGCUUGUUUAUUAAUUUCAGCAGAGGAUUUUCUUCCGAACUUUCCUCUUCUGCCAUUUUCAUCAUUAAUAAGUCCAUGGGAUUUCCUUCACCCGGCUUCAUUGGAGGAAGCUUGCUCAUUAAUUCUAGCAUAAAUGUUACAUCUCCUCCUGCACCCUUUUCUUGGGCCAUCUUUUUCAUUAACGAUUCCAUGGGAUUUCCUUCAUCAGGCUUCAUUGGUGGAGGCUUGCUCAUUAAUUCCGGCAUAGGAUUCCCUCCUGCACCCUUUCCUUGGGCCAUCACUUUCAUUAACGAUUCCAAAGGAUUUCCUUCAUUUAUUUCGUCGUUUCGUUCAUCCUGUGGAACGUUGUCCAAUGACUCCGUAACGUGAAGGUCCUUCAGUAGUUCUUCCAUAGCACGUUCUUGAGCAGCCCUAGUUUGUUCCAUAUUGCUGAUAUGCUUUUCCAACGCCUGUGUUUGUGCAGCACUCCCCUGUCCAGACUUUGACUUCAUUCUUUCCAAAGUGAAUGCCUGCGUAGCCCUGACGCGGGAAUAGGUUUUCUUCAAUUCUUCCACUUCUUUUUCAGGAAGACCUCCUUCAGAAGCCUUUCUUAGGGAAAGCUUGUUUAUCAAUUUCAGCAGAGGAUUUUCUUCCGAACUUUCCUCUUCUGCCAUUUUCAUCAUUAAUAAGUCCAUGGGAUUUCCUUCACCCGGCUUCAUUGGAGGAAGCUUGCUCAUUAAUUCUAGCAUAAAUGUUACAUCUCCUCCUGCAUCCUUUUCUUGGGCCAUCUUUUUCAUUAACGAUUCCAUGGGAUUUCCUUCAUUAGGCUUCAUUGGUGGAAGCUUGCUCAUAAAUUCUAACACAGGAUUCCCUUCUGCAGCCUUUUCUUGAGACAUUAUUUUCAUUAAUUCUUCCAUAGGAUUUCCUUCACCCGGCUUCAUUGGAGGAAGCUUGCUCAUUAAUUCUAGCAUAGGAUUCACUCCUGCACCCUUUCCUUGGGCCAUCAUUUUCAUUAACGAUUCCAUAGGAUUUCCUUCAUUUAUUUCGUCGCUUCCUUCAUCCUGUGCAACUUUGUCCAAUGACUCCGUAACGUGUAGGUCCUUCAGUAGUUCGUCCAUAGCACGUUCUUGAGCAGCCCUAGUUUGUUCCAUAUUGCGGAUAUGCUUUUCCAACGCCUGUGUUUGUGCAGCACUCCCCUGUCCAGACUUUGACUUCAUUCUUUCCAAAGUGAAUGCCUGCGUAGCCCUGACGCGGGAAUAGGUUUUCUUCAAUUCUUCCACUUCUUUUUCAGGAAGACCUCCUUCAGCAGCCUUUCUUAGGGAAAGCUUGUUUAUUAAUUUCAGCAGAGGAUUUUCUUCCGAACUUUCCUCUUCUGCCAUUUUCAUCAUUAAUAACUCCAUGGGAUUUCCUUCACCCGGCUUCAUUGGAGGAAGCUUGCUCAUUAAUUCUAGCAUAGAUGUUACAUCUCCUCCUGCACCCUUUUCUUGGGCCAUCUUUUUCAUUAACGAUUCCACGGGAUUUCCUUCAUUAGGCUUUAUUGGAGGAAGCUUGCUCAUUAAUUCUAGCAUAGGAUUCACUCCUGCACCCUUUCCUUGGGCCAUCACUUUCAUUAACGAUUCCAAAGGAUUUCCUUCAUUUAUUUCGUCGUUUCGUUCAUCCUGUGGAACGUUGUCCAAUGACUCCGUAACGUGAAGGUCCUUCAGUAGUUCUUCCAUAGCACGUUCUUGAGCAGCCCUAGUUUGUUCCAUAUUGCGGAUAUGCUUUUCCAACGCCUGUGUUUGUGCAGCACUCCCCUGUCCAGACUUUGACUUCAUUCUUUCCAAAGUGAAUGCCUGCGUAGCCC